GCUGUGAUAUUGGGAGCCUGAAGAGAUGGCUCAGUGGAUUAGAGCACUGGCUGCUCCUACAGAGGACCUGGGUUUGAUUCCCAGCAACCACAUAGUGGUUUACAACCACUGGCAACUCCAGUUCCAAGGGAUCUGAUAGCUUCUCCUGGCCAUAGUCCAUGUGGUAUAUGCACCCCCCCCAACAUAAUAUAAACAAAUUAUUUUUAAAAAUAGCCUUGGCCUAAAAUGAGCUCAUUCUGGGUGAGAAAUAGAGAAAUUACUCUUUGGUCCUGCCCUCUCUCCAGCCUGUAUCCACAAGCCCUGGUCUUUCUCCUGUCUACCCUUUUUAAAAUCCUUCCUCUGUCAGUCUCUGAGGCAUCUGGGUUUACUAGUUAGUUUGUCCUCUAGGCCUCAGUUACCAUAUUCACAAAAUGGGCAUACUCAGCCUACCUCCUGGCAGAAGGAGCUCCCAGGUGAGAGGUGUCCAGUGCUGUUGCUGCCAUCUUUGGCUGUAGUCCUGAGAUAGCAGAGCCUUCCUUUCCUGGUUGUCCAAAUACCUGAGCUUGGAUUCCCUGGAUCUCCUAUAAUGCUGGAGCUGUUGUUACAUCAUGUUCCAUGUGGGGGUUGUGACCCCAGUGGGACAUGUGGGGGUUGUGACCCCAGUGGGAGGAGGGGAGUGGGGGCUGGGAAGAGGAAAACCCCGAAGCUUUGGCAUACACAGCAACAAACAGGAGAUACACACACACACACACACACACACACACACACACACACAGACAUACACAGACACACAGAUAGCUAAAUGAGUGAAUGGGAUUAGGAAAAGGAAUCUGUUUCUUGGUUUCUUAAGUUUUCUUCCAGGCUGCAAACUCGGGUUCCUGUGAUCCCUUGUUGUGCACUCUGCUUAGUUCCUGGCCUUUCUGUAGGGCCUUUCUGCAUGCCCUAGCCCACGGGAUUCCAUUGUCUGGCUGCAUCUCCCUGCUGCUUCCUGUGUUUGGCUGCUCCAAGCUUUGCUGCAGGGCCACUCUCACACCCAAGCUCUAGGGACCCAAAACAUCCCUCUCACCGGGAUAAUCUGGGCCACAUUCUGCGACUAAGAUAGCUUGCCCAGAUGAGCACGGCAAGCUGCCUGCAGGGCCUGUCCCUUCUUCCUUGUUUUCUGGCAUUUUCCUUGUCCUCAUUAGGGCGACUUUUGGAGCCUGAACCCUUCUGUGCUUGUGGCGAGCAUGGCCUGGCUCCCAGCAGCCCUUCUUCCUUCUUCGUCUGACCCUAUGAAUCAGUAGGCCCUCUCUUGCUGCCACCCCUCCCCCCUCUGUAGUUUACAAGCCACAGGCCCCGGGGCCUAGCUCUGGGGUGGGAUGAAUGUGUUUGGUAUCAAUCCCAGAACCUGUUUCAGAGCCAGCAAUGUUUGGUGGGCACCAAAGGAAGGACCUAGCUAGGUACCCAUGCUGGAGGAAGUCUUAGGACUGGGAGGUGUGCAGUACUGACUCUGUCUCUCUCUAGCCUGGGACACUUCCCUCCCCCCCAAAGCUGAAUAUGAGGAAGGCCCAAGCUAUAGCCACUAGUCUGGUGGUUGAGGGUUAAACACAAUUUGUCAGCCUCUUUUCUUGGCUGAUAGCCAUUUCUGUCCUGCUUGGUCUUUUUGGUGGUUGGCAUUUCACAUAUUGAUUCGAUGCCUGGAGAGGGUGGGGGGCACUGUAGAGACAGAUCCGCAGGCUUUCUUCAUGGCUGAAAGAGCGUCACAACUAAAGGGAGUCGGAAACCCCUAACC
rnacentral:lncRNA from 1 species